UCCGUAGGAUGCAAGCGUUGUCCGGAUUUAUUGGGUUUAAAGGGUGCGUAGGCGGCCUAUUAAGUUAGUGGUGAAAACGUGCGGCUUAACCGGAUACCCGCCAUUGAUACUGAUAGACUUGAGUGCGACAGAGGGUGUUGGAAUGUGUGGUGUAGCGGUGAAAUGCUUAGAUAUCACGCAGAACACCAAUUGCGAAGGCAGAUGCCUAUGUCGUAACUGACGCUGAGGCACGAAAGCGUGGGUAGAAAACAGG
rnacentral:rRNA from 1 species